ACAUGCCUACAACAUAGCGUUAAUGCAUCAAAUCCCAUUAGAACUCUGUAGUUAAGUGCGCUUAGGCUAGAGUAGUACUGAUAUGGGUGACCUCUCGGGAAGUCCUAGUCUUUUACAUGCC
rnacentral:rRNA from 1 species